GACGUAGGGGGCGAGCGUUGCCCGGAUUCACUGGGCGUAAAGCGCGUGUAGGCGGUCUGUUAAGUCGGAUGUGAAAGCUCCGGGCUCAACUCGGAAAUUGCAUCCGAUACUGGCAGACUUGAGGAUGGUAGAGGUCGGUGGAAUGCAGAGUGUACCGGUGAAAUGGGCAGAUAUUCUGCGGAACACCAGUGGCGAAGGCGGCCGACUGGGCCAUUCCUGACGCUGAGACGCGAAAGCCAGGGUAGCGAACCGG
rnacentral:rRNA from 1 species